UACGGAGGAUCCGAGCGUUAUCCGGAUUUAUUGGGUUUAAAGGGUGCUCAGGCGGGGGAUUAAGUCGGCGGUGAAAUUUUGCAGCUCAACUGUAAAAGUGCCUUCGAAACUGGUUUCCUUGAGUGUGGAUGAGGUAGGCGGAAUUUGUGGUGUAGCGGUGAAAUGCAUAGAUAUCACGAGGAACUCCGAUUGCGCAGGCAGCUUACUAAACCAUAACUGACGCUCAAGCACGAAGGCGUGGGGAU
rnacentral:rRNA from 1 species